rnacentral:rRNA from 1 species
UACGAAAGGAGCAAGUGUUAUUCAGAUUAACUGGGCGUAAAGCGCACGUAGGCGGCUUUGUAAGUUAGAGGUGAAAGCCCGGGGCUCAACUCCGGAAUUGCCUUUAAGACUGCAUCGCUUGAAUCCGGGAGAGGUGAGUGGAAUUCCGAGUGUAGAGGUGAAAUUCGUAGAUAUUCGGAAGAACACCAGUGGCGAAGGCGGCUCACUGGACCGGUAUUGACGCUGAGGUGCGAAAGCGUGGGGAGCAAACAGG